rnacentral:rRNA from 1 species
UAGAGUUUGAUCCUGGCUCAGAUUGAACGCUGGCGGCAUGCCUUACACACGCAAGUCGAACGGUAACAGGUCUUCGGACGCUGACGAGUGGCGAACGGGUGAGUAAUACAUCGGAACGUGCCCAGUCGUGGGGGAUAACUACUCGAAAGAGUAGCUAAUACCGCAUACGAUCUGAGGAUGAAAGCGGGGGACCUUCGGGCCUCGCGCGAUUGGAGCGGCCGAUGGCAGAUUAGGUAGUUGGUGGGAUAAAAGCUUACCAAGCCGACGAUCUGUAGCUGGUCUGAGAGGACGACCAGCCACACUGGGACUGAGACACGGCCCAGACUCCUACGGGAGGCAGCAGUGGGGAAUUUUGGACAAUGGGCGAAAGCCUGAUCCAGCAAUGCCGCGUGCAGGAUGAAGGCCUUCGGGUUGUAAACUGCUUUUGUACGGAACGAAAAAGCUCCUUCUAAUACAGGGGGCCCAUGACGGUACCGUAAGAAUAAGCACCGGCUAACUACGUGCCAGCAGCCGCGGUAAUACGUAGGGUGCGAGCGUUAAUCGGAAUUACUGGGCGUAAAGCGUGCGCAGGCGGUUAUGUAAGACAGAUGUGAAAUCCCCGGGCUCAACCUGGGAACUGCAUUUGUGACUGCAUGGCUAGAGUACGGUAGAGGGGGAUGGAAUUCCGCGUGUAGCAGUGAAAUGCGUAAAUAUGCGGAGGAACCCCGAUGGCGAAGGCAUCCCCUGGACCUGUACUGACCCUCCUGGCCCAAAACCUGGGGAGCAAACAGGAUUAAAAACCCUGGGAAUCCCCCCCCUAAACAAUGUCAAUGGGUUUUUGGGAAUUUAUUUUUCCCAAAACAAACUAAACGCGGAAAUUUACCCCCCGGGGGGAAC